AACAUCGCGCACCUGCGGGAACCUGCGGAGGGAUCAUUACAGAGUUGCAAAACUCCCUAAACCAUUGUGAACGUUACCUAAACCGUUGCUUCGGCGGGCGGCCCGGGUCCUUCCCGGCGCCCCUCGGCCCUCGCGGGCGCCCGCCGGAGGUAAACCAAACUAUUGCAUUGUAUGGCCUCUCUGAGUCCUCUGUACUGAAUAAGUCAAAACUUUUAACAACGGAUCUCAGAUCGGAAGAGC
rnacentral:misc_RNA from 1 species